rnacentral:rRNA from 1 species
AACGAACGCUGGCGGCAGGCCUAACACAUGCAAGUCGAGCGAGGUAGCAAUACCUAGCGGCGGACGGGUGAGUAACGCGUGGGAACGUACCCUUUGCUACGGAAUAGCCCCGGGAAACUGGGAGUAAUACCGUAUGUGCCCUUCGGGGGAAAGAUUUAUCGGCAAAGGAUCGGCCCGCGUUGGAUUAGGUAGUUGGUGGGGUAAUGGCCUACCAAGCCGACGAUCCAUAGCUGGUUUGAGAGGAUGAUCAGCCACACUGGGACUGAGACACGGCCCAGACUCCUACGGGAGGCAGCAGUGGGGAAUCUUAGACAAUGGGCGCAAGCCUGAUCUAGCCAUGCCGCGUGAGUGAUGAAGGCCUUAGGGUUGUAAAGCUCUUUCAGAUGGGAGGAUAAUGACGGUACCAUCAGAAGAAGCCCCGGCUAACUCCGUG